CGUUGUACACACCGCCCGUCACACCAUGAGAGUUGGGGAUACCCGAAGCCUGUGAGCUAACUUUAUAAGGAGCAGCAGUCGAAGGUAGAAUCAAUGAUUGGGGUGAAGUCGUAACAAGGUAAC
rnacentral:rRNA from 1 species